CAUAGCGACUAUCGUGGCAUAUCAAUAAGCGGAGGAAAAGAAACUAACAAGGAUUCCCUUAGUAACGGCGAGUGAAGCGGGAAGAGCUCAAAUUUGAAAUCUUCAAGGUUCUACCUUGACGAAUUGUAGUUUAAAGAAGUGUUUUCUGUUGAAGUUUUGGUAAAAGUUCUUUGGAAUAGGACAUCAUAGAGGGUGAGAAUCCCGUAUUUGACCAUUAUUUUCAGCUGUGUGAUACACUUUCAAAGAGUCGGAUUGUUUGGGAAUGCAGUCCAAAAUGGGUGGUAAAUUUCAUCUAAAGCUAAAUAUUGGCGAGAGACCGAUAGCGAACAAGUACCGUGAGGGAAAGAUGAAAAGAACUUUGAAAAGAGAGUUAAACAGUACGUGAAAUUGUCAAAAGGGAAAGCGUUAGACACCAGUGUUGUUUAGUUCGAAAAUCAAUUCAAUAAUUUUGAUUCAUGCAAGUAGUAUUGACUUCAUCAGCUUGCAAUGCUUUCUUUCAGGGUAUUAUUGAUGCACUUUUCAGGUUAACAAGUCAACAUCAAUUUCCUUUGUUGUAAAAGGUAAGAGGAGGGUGGCUUACGCUUCGGCGUAAGUGUUUAUAGCCUUUUACCUCUGCAAUCGGAGAGAUUGAGGACAGCAGCGUAGACUCUUCGGGGUUAGAUACACUUGUGCUAAGCUAUAGCCUUGUAUAGACAACUUGUUGACUAUGCUCAGUCAUGUAGCUUACUCGCUUGUGCUAUUUUACCUACGCUUAGGAUGUUGAUAGUCACAGCGUGUAC
rnacentral:rRNA from 1 species